rnacentral:rRNA from 1 species
UACGUAGGGUGCAAGCGUUAAUCGGAAUUACUGGGCGUAAAGCGUGCGCAGGCGGUUGUGCAAGACAGAUGUGAAAUCCCCGGGCUUAACCUGGGAACUGCAUUUGUGACUGCACGGCUAGAGUGCGGCAGAGGGGGAUGGAAUUCCGCGUGUAGCAGUGAAAUGCGUAGAUAUGCGGAGGAACACCGAUGGCGAAGGCAAUCCCCUGGGCCUGCACUGACGCUCAUGCACGAAA